rnacentral:rRNA from 1 species
UGGUAGUCCACGCUGUAAACGAUGUCGAUUUGAAGGUUGUUCCCUUGAGGAGUGGCUUUCGGAGCUAACGCGUUAAAUCGACCGCCUGGGGAGUACGGCCGCAAGGUUAAAACUCAAAUGAAUUGACGGGGGCCCGCACAAGCGGUGGAGCAUGUGGUUUAAUUCGAUGCAACGCGAAGAACCUUACCUACUCUUGACAUCCAGAGAAUUUAGCAGAGAUGCUUUAGUGCCUUCGGGAACCCUGAGACAGGUGCUGCAUGGCUGUCGUCAGCUCGUGUUGUGAAAUGUUGGGUUAAGUCCCGCAACGAGCGCAACCCUUAUCCUUUGUUGCCAGCACGUAAUGGUGGGAACUCAAAGGAGACUGCCGGUGAUAAACCGGAGGAAGGUGGGGAUGACGUCAAGUCAUCAUGGCCCUUACGAGUAGGGCUACACACGUGCUACAAUGGCGUAUACAAAGAGAAGCGAACUUGCGAGAGUAAGCGGAACUCAUAAAGUACGUCGUAGUCCGGAUUGGAGUCUGCAACUCGACUCCAUGAAGUCGGAAUCGCUAGUAAUCGUAGAUCAGAAUGCUACGGUGAAUACGUUCCCGGGCCUUGUACACACCGCCCGUCACACCAUGGGAGUGGGUUGCAAAAGAAGUAGGUAGCUUAACCUUCGGGAGGGCGCUUACCACUUUGUGAUUCAUGACUGGGGUGAAGUCGUAACAAGGUAACCA